rnacentral:rRNA from 1 species
CCUAAUUGAUCCAACUAGUAUUCAUAUGCUUUUAUCAAUAAUUAAUCCAUGCAUUUGUAAGCAUGAAAAUUCAAAUAGUAAAACUGCAAGUGGCUCAUUAAAUCACUUUUAGAUUUUUUAAUAGUAUCUACUACUAGAAUAACUAUAGUAGUUCUAGAGCUAAUAUGUGUAACAAAUCCCAACUUCUAUAUAGGAUGCAUUUAUUAGAUAAAAGGUUGGUAGGGGCUCUGCCUGUUGCUGCGAUAAUUCAGGAUAAAUCAUCAGAUUGCACAUAUAUCGUACUACCAAUAAAUCAUUCAAGUUUCCACUCUAUUAACUUUCGAUGGGAGGAUAGUGUCCUACCAUGCUAGGGAUGGGUGAUGGAGAAUUAGGGUUCGAUUUCAGAACGAGAGACUGCAAAAUGGCUACUAGAUCAAAGAAAGGCAGCAACUAUGCAAAUUACCCAAUCCUUAUAUGGGGAGAUAGCGGUAAUAAAUAACAAUACUGGGGUCAAUGAGUCUGGUAAUUAGAAUAAGUACAAUCUAAAUCCCUUAGCGAGGAUCUAUUGGAGGGUAAUUCUAGUGCCAAUAGCCAUAGUAAUUCCAUCUCCAAUAACGUAUAUUUAAUUUUUUAUAGUUAAAAGCUCAAAGUUGUACUUUGGGAUAGGCCAACAGGUCCACCGAUGGUAUGCACCAGUCAUCUCGUACAUUCUGUUGAUGAUGGGAUCCUAGAAACUGGUCAGGUCAUACCUCUAGUGUAAUUACAUUAAAGAAAUUACAGUUCUUAAAGUAAGUCUAUGCUCGGUAUAUAUUAGAAUGGGAUAACAUUAUAGGAUUUUGGCCCUAUUACGUUGGCCUUCAGGAUCGAAGUAAUGAUUAACAGGGAUAGUCGGGGGCAUUUGUAUUUCAUACUCAGAGUUGAAAUUCUUGGAUUAAUGAAAGACGAAAAACUACAAAAGCAUUUCCCAAAGAUGUUUUCAUUAAUCAAGAACAAAAGUUUUGGGAUCGAAGAUGAUAAUAUACCUUACGAGUCUCAACUAUAAAGGAUGAACCAGGGUUUGAUUGAUGUUUCUUUUGGGAUUCUGUCGGCACCUAAUGAGAAAUCAAAGUUUUUGGGUUCUUGAUGGAGUAUUGUUGCAAGGCUAAACUUAAUGGAAUUCACAGAAGGGCACCACCAGGAUUGGAUCCUGUAACUUAAGUUUACUCAACACAGGGAAACUUACCAGUUCUAGACAGAGUAAAGAUUGACAGACUGAGAGCUCAUUCUUGAUUUACAUGGGUGGUGGUAUAUGGCCAUUCUUAGUUGGUGAACCGACUUGUCUAGUUAAUUCUGAUAACGAACGAGACCUCAUCCUACUAACUAGCUAUGUUAAGGUAUGUCUUUGUGGCCAGCUUCUUAAAGGGACUAUACCUUUUAAGCUGUGGAAGUUUGAGGCAAAACAGGUCUACCAUUCCCUUAGAUGUCAUGGGCUACACGGGUGCUACACUAAUGUAUUCAAUGAGUUUAUAGCAUUGACCGACAGUCCUAGGUAAUCUUUCAAAUUUCCUUAUGAUGGUGAUAGAUCAUAGAAAUUGUUGGUCUUCAAUAAGGAAUUCCUAGUAAGCACGAGCCAUUAGCUCGCGUUGACUACGCACCUGCCCUAUGUACUCAUUGCCCGUUGCUUCUAUCGAUUGAAUAAAUUGGUAAGAUGUUCAGAUCGUGAUAACAUCGGUGGAUCACUGCGUACGGUGUCAUGAAAAGUCCAUUUAACCUUAUCAUUUAGAGGAGGAGAACUCAUAACAAGGUUUCUGCAAGUGAAACUGCGGAAG